ACCUGACUGCUAUCGGAUUGAUACUAAGCCAUGCGAGUCUUUGCAGUAAUGCAAGGCAUACGGCUCAGUAACACGUAGUCAACUUACCCUAUGGACGAGGAUAAUCUCGGGAAACUGAGCAUAAUACUCGAUAGAUCAUAAUGCCUGGAAUGGUUUAUGGUUGAAAUGAUUCGUCGCCAUAGGAUGGGACUGCGGCCUAUCAGCUUGUUGGUGAGGUAAUGGCCCACCAAGGCGAUAACAGGUACGGGCUCUGAGAGGAGAAGCCCGGAGAUGGGUACUGAGACAAGGACCCAGGCCCUAUGGGGCGCAGCAGGCGAGAAAACUUUGCAAUGUGCGAAAGCACGACAAGGUUAGUCCGAGUGAUUUCUGCUAAAGAGAUCUUUUGCUAGUUAUAAAACCACUAGUGAAUAAGGGGUGGGCAAGUUCUGGUGUCAGCCGCCGCGGUAAAACCAGCACCUCAAGUGGUCAGGAGGAUUAUUGGGCCUAAAGCAUCCGUAGCCGGCUCUGUAAGUUUUCGGUUAAAUCCAUGUGCUCAACGCAUGGGCUGCCGAAAAUACUGCAUAGCUAGGGAGUGGGAGAGGUAGACGGUACUCGGUAGGAAGGGGUAAAAUCCUUUGAUCUAUCGAUGACCACCUGUGGCGAAGGCGGUCUACCAGAACACGUUCGACGGUGAGGGAUGAAAGCUGGGGGAGCAAACCGGAUUAGAUACCCGGGUAGUCCCAGCUGUAAACGAUGCAGACUCGAUGAUGCAUUGGCAUAUAGCCAGUGCAGUGUCGCAGGGAAGCCGUUAAGUCUGCCGCCUGGGAAGUACGUACGCAAGUAUGAAACUUAAAGGAAUUGGCGGGGGAGCACCACAAGGGGUGAAGCCUGCGGUUC
rnacentral:rRNA from 1 species